rnacentral:rRNA from 1 species
GGACUACUAGGGUAUCUAAUCCUGUUCGCUCCCCACGCUUUCGCGCCUCAGCGUCAGUAUGAUGCCAGGUGGCUGCCUUCGCCAUUGACGUUCCUUCCGAUCUCUACGCAUUUCACCGCUACACCGGAAAUUCCGCCACCCUCUCAUCUACUCCAGUUAUGUCGUUUGCGAUGCACUUCCCAGGUUAAGCCCGGGGCUUUCACAUCACACUCACACAACCGCCUACGCGCCCUUUACGCCCAGUAAAUCCGAUUAACGCUCGCACCCUCUGUAUUACCGCGGCUGCUGGCAC